rnacentral:rRNA from 1 species
GAUGAACGCUGGCGGCGUGCCUAAUACAUGCAAGUCGAGCGAACAGACGAGGAGCUUGCUCCUCUGACGUUAGCGGCGGACGGGUGAGUAACACGUGGAUAACCUACCUAUAAGACUGGGAUAACUUCGGGAAACCGGAGCUAAUACCGGAUAAUAUAUUGAACCGCAUGGUUCAAUAGUGAAAGACGGGUUUGCUGUCACUUAUAGAUGGAUCCGCGCCGCAUUAGCUAGUUGGUAAGGUAACGGCCUACCAAGGCAACGAUGCGUAGCCGACCUGAGAGAGUGAUCGGCCACACUGGAACUGAGACACGGUCCCGACUCCUACGGGACGCAGCAGUAGGGAAUCUUCCGCAAUGGGCGAAAGCCUGACGGAGCAACGCCGCGUGAGUUAUGACGGUCUUCGGAUCGUAAAACUCUGUUAUUAGGGAAGAACAACUGUGUAAGUAACUAUGCACGUCUUGACGGUACCUACUCAGAAAGCCACGGCUAACUACGUG